rnacentral:rRNA from 1 species
GAUGAACGCUGGCGGCGUGCUUAACACAUGCAAGUCGAACGGAAAGGCCCAAGCUUGCUUGGGUACUCGAGUGGCGAACGGGUGAGUAACACGUGGGUGAUCUGCCCUGCACUUCGGGAUAAGCCUGGGAAACUGGGUCUAAUACCGGAUAGGACCACAUUUUGGAUGGUGUGGUGGAAAGUUUUUCGGUGUGGGAUGAGCUCGCGGCCUAUCAGCUUGUUGGUGGGGUAAUGGCCUACCAAGGCGUCGACGGGUAGCCGGCCUGAGAGGGUGUACGGCCACAUUGGGACUUAGAUACGGCCCAGACUCCUACGGGAGGCAGCAGUGGGGAAUAUUGCACAAUGGGCGCAAGCCUGAUGCAGCGACGCCGCGUGGGGGAUGACGGCCUUCGGGUUGUAAACUCCUUUCGCUAGGGACGAAGCGUUUUUGUGACGGUACCUGGAGAAGAAGCACCGGCUAACUACGUG